rnacentral:rRNA from 1 species
UACGUAGGGCGCAAGCGUUGUCCGGAAUUAUUGGGCGUAAAGAGCUCGUAGGUGGUUUGUCGCGUUGUCCGUGAAAACUCACAGCUCAACUGUGGGCGUGCGGGCGAUACGGGCAGACUGGAGUACUGCAGGGGAGACUGGAAUUCCUGGUGUAGCGGUGGAAUGCGCAGAUAUCAGGAGGAACACCGGUGGCGAAGGCGGGUCUCUGGGCAGUAACUGACGCUGAGGAGCGAAAGCGUGGGGAGCGAACAGG